rnacentral:rRNA from 1 species
UGGGGAAUUUUGGACAAUGGGCGCAAGCCUGAUCCAGCCAUGCCGCGUGAGUGACGAAGGCCUUAGGGUUGUAAAGCUCUUUUGGCGGGGAAGAUAAUGACGGUACCCGCAGAAUAAGCUCCGGCUAACUUCGUGCCAGCAGCCGCGGUAAUACGAAGGGAGCUAGCGUUGUUCGGAAUCACUGGGCGUAAAGCGCACGUAGGUGGGCAGUUAAGUCAGGGGUGAAAGCCCGAGGCUCAACCUCGGAAUUGCCUCUGAUACUGGCUGUCUAGAGUUCGAGAGAGGUGAGUGGAAUUCCUAGUGUAGAGGUGAAAUUCGUAGAUAUUAGGAAGAACACCGGUGGCGAAGGCGGCUCACUGGCUCGAUACUGACACUGAGGUGCGAAAGCGUGGGGAGCAAACAGGAUUAGAUACCCAAGUAGUCCCUGAGCGGGCUGGCAAGGCGCAU